rnacentral:lncRNA from 1 species
CGAAUUGAGAAUUUUCACUUUUGAGGAGUUAUAGCAAUUACAAGUUUGGAGGCGUGCAACAAAUACUUUCUCUUACCUCCAUUUAGUGGUGCACGAUAUUUUAGGGAAAUCAUUACAAACUUUCCAUAGCUUACUUCCAACACGCCAUAGAAUCCCCUACCUAAAUCAUCGAUCUCAUUCUCUCUAAACACAGAAAACUGUUCAACAUUG